rnacentral:lncRNA from 10 species
AGUAUCGCGAGAUCAGGAAGGUGGCCGAGUGUGUCGCCGCGGCCAUCAGGGUAAGGGUACCUGGACUUGCGGCUUUUUAGGUCGGCCUGGCUCCGCUCCUUCCGCGGUGACGAGGUCCCCCGGCCUCCUAGGGUUGGGAAGAGCUGCUUUCCUGACUCUCGUUCCCUGCCUCAGGCUUCCCUUAUCCCAAUCGCUUCGAACCCUUGGCUCAGCGUAGAGGAGUCAAGCCUGGAUUCUAGUCCCACCUUGCCCAUUAGCAGCUCUGUGACCUGGGACUGUUCACUUACCCUCUCUCAGCCUCAGUUUCCGCAUCUGUACAACGAGAGGUCCUAUCUCUUAGGUCCUUACAAUUUUUAAACUCUGGGAUUCGGUGGCAAUUAAAUGUGUAAUGACAUGUUGUCAGUUCUCAAUUUGUGACAGCAUUGCUUUAAAUUUAAAAAUCCACGGCUUGAAUCUUCCCUCCAAAUCUGUUAAGGGGUGGAAAGUACAAAGAGCAUGAAACAUAUCUGGGUGAGGGAGAGAACAAGGUGCUUUGGUGCACCACAAAGUAACAAUUUUAUAAGCAGCUGAUUCUUAUAAAAUCUUAAGUAAAUGAAAUAUUGUGAAGCAAAUAAUAUUCUUAAUGCAUUACAGAUUUUUGAGCCACUUCUGAAAUUUUCGCGAACCAAGAAGAAUUUUAGUACUUGGAUUUGACUAACAUUUAUCCAAGCCCUUAGUCUGUACUGAUACUGUGUGGGAGACCCAGAAAAGAUGCUUUAGUUCCAGUCCAAGCAUGAAGAACCAAGGCCUGAGAACCAGAAGAGCCUCUGGUGUAAGUACUAGUCUGAGUCCGAAGGCCUGAGAACUGAGAACACUGGAGUCCAAGGGCAGGAGAAAGAUAUCUGAGCUCAAACAGAAAGGGCAAAUAUGCCCUCCCUCUGUCUUUUUGCUCUAUUUGGGCCC